rnacentral:lncRNA from 1 species
AUGCAAGCAAAGGGUGAUAAGGGGGUCCCCAGGAUUGGGUGUGUGUCUGUGAGUGUGUGCGUGUGCGUGUGUGUGUGUGUGUGGGGGGCAGCAGGAGUCCAAGCCAAGCCAAAAGGUUUCUCACGUGCAAACUCGCAAUCUAAUCCUUUGGGAGUUGCGCCUAGGCUACGAGGGGCAAGUCUAUUUAAAAAAAAAAAAAUCAGGAGCAUCUCUUGGAGAAGCCCUUUCCAACAAAAUCAAAGCAGGACCCGAGAACCACAGACCGUCCCUAACAUCCCCGCUGCGAGGCCCGCGGGCUGUGGAAUCUCGCACGUCACCUGGACCCAGCAGGGAGGGCCGCUGAGAGAGGAAAAUACAUCAAAAUUUAAUAAGGGGCUUUCCCUGAAGAAGGAAACAAAUACGGAGAAAAUGGGGCAGACAAAUAAAGAUACGGUUUGCUUACAAUGGCAAGAAUGAAGUUAUAAUUUAGGUUAAAUGUGUCCCCCGCCCCCAGCACCACACAAUAGCUAAUAAAAGGAAAUGGAGAAGGUGGGGAGUUUUGUUUUGUGUCUCCUUGGUUAAGCAAAUGGACAGGCUCUACCAGUCAAUGGGCUGGAUAACUUUUUUUUGCCCACAUCUUCAUGUUGGUUUAGUGGAGCAAGUGGUUGCCCACAGGUGUUGGGGGGGGGGGAGAAGAUGGGCAAGUUUGAUCCCUGUUAUAACACUUUCUAAAUGCCCUCUCCUCUCUCUUCUUGCCUCUUGCCUCUUGCUUCUGACUCUGAUGCUUGAAGACUUUGCCUAUUCUUACUUUUAUUUUGAAGCUCUCUCUUUAGAGGAAAAACUAAUUUUCAAAACUAUGCCUGUAUAGACACCAGACACAAAGUAC